AGGGAAUAGAUACCCAGGUAGUCCACGCCGUAAACGAUGCCAACUAGCAAUGGGGAGAGUCGACCCUCUCUGUUGCGAAAGCUAACGCGUCAAGUUGGCCGCCUGGGGAGUACGGUGGCAACACUAAAAACUCAAAGGAAUUGGCGGGGGCUCGCACAAGUGGUGGAGCAUGUGGUUUAAUUCGACAAUGACCGAGGAACCUUAUCCAGGGCUUGACAUCUUGGGAACCCGCUGGAAACAGUGGGGUGCCGCAAGGAGCCCAAAGACAGGUACUGCACGGUCGUCGUCAGUUCGUGUCGUGAGAUGUGAGGUUAAGUCCUUGAACGAACGCAACCCUUGUCCUAUGUUGGAUUUCAUAGGAGACUGCCCUGGUAACAGGGAGGAAGGUGGGGAUGACGUCAGAUCCGCGUGGUCUUUAUGCCCUGGGCUACACACGUGCUACAAUCCGGCAGACAAAGGGUCGCCAAGCCGCGAGGCGGAGCUAAUCCCAUCAAAAUGCCGGUCAGUUCGGAUUGGAGUCUGCAACUCGACUCCAUGAAGCC
rnacentral:rRNA from 1 species